GCCUUCGUGGUGUGAUGGUCAGCACACUGAGCCAGUAUUUCAGAGGUACGUGGUUCGAUCCCCGGCGAAGGAA
rnacentral:tRNA from 1 species